rnacentral:rRNA from 1 species
GACGAACGCUGGCGGCGUGCUUAACACAUGCAAGUCGAACGAAGUGGCGAACGGGUGAGUAACGCGUAAUCAACCUGCCCUUCAGAGGGGGACAACAGUUGAAACCGACUGCUAAUACCGCAUACUGAAGGAGGGGAUUGCGUCGGAUUAGCUAGUUGGAGGGGUAACGGCCCACCACGGCGAUGAUCAGUAGACGGUCGUAGAGGAUGAACGGCCAAAUUUGGACUGAGACACGGCCCAGAAUCCUACGGGAGGCAGCAGUGGGGAAUCUUCCGCAAUGGACGACAGUCUGACGGAGCAAAGCCGGGUGAGUGAUGACGGCCUUCGGGUUGUAAAGCUCUGUUAAUCGGGACGCGGUACCGGAAUAGAAAGCAACGGCUAACUACGUGCCAGCAGCCGCGGUAAUAC